UCCCUGGUAGUAUAUCGGCUAGUACACGCGCCUGUCAUCGCUAAUUCACAAUGAAGAAGAAGAGAUAUGGUCGCGCGAAAGCGGGGUUCGACUCCCCGCCAGGGAG